rnacentral:rRNA from 1 species
CCUUCUACGGGAGGCAGCAGUGGGGGAUAUUGCACAAUGGGGGGAACCCUGAUGCAGCGACGCCGCGUGGGCGAUGGAGUGCUUCGGCAUGUAAAGCCCUAUCAGCAGGGAAGAAAAUGACGGUACCUGACUAAGAAGCCCCGGCUAAAUACGUGCCAGCAGCCGCGGUAAUACGUAUGGGGCAAGCGUUAUCCGGAUCUACUGGGUGUAAAGGGAGCGUAGGCGGCCAGGCAAGCCUGAUGGGAAAUACCGGGGCCCAACCCC